UAAGUACUCCAUCCGAAAAUACUUGUCAUCAAAAUUGAUAAAAAGGAUGUAUCUAGAACUAAAAUACGUCUAGAUACAUUUAGUUUUAACCAUUUUGAUGACAGGUAUUUCCGGACGGAGGGAGUACCUU
rfam:Triticum aestivum genome assembly, contig: Triticum_aestivum_CS42_TGACv1_scaffold_032512_1BL